rnacentral:rRNA from 1 species
ACUCCUACGGGAGGCAGCAGUGGGGAAUAUUGCACAAUGGGCGCAAGCCUGAUGCAACCAUGCCGCGUGUAUGAAGAAGGCCUUCGGGUUGUAAAGUACUUUCAGCGGGGAGGAAGGCGAUAAGGUUAAUAACCUUGUCGAUUGACGUUACCCGCAGAAGAAGCACCGGCUAACUCCGUGCCAGCAGCCGCGGUAAUACGGAGGGUGCAAGCGUUAAUCGGAAUUACUGGGCGUAAAGCGCACGCAGGCGGUCUGUCAAGUCGGAUGUGAAAUCCCCGGGCUCAACCUGGGAACUGCAUUCGAAACUGGCAGGCUAGAGUCUUGUAGAGGGGGGUAGAAUUCCAGGUGUAGCGGUGAAAUGCGUAGAGAUCUGGAGGAAUACCGGUGGCGAAGGCGGCCCCCUGGACAAAGACUGACGCUCAGGUGCGAAAGCGUGGGGAGCAAACAGGAUUAGAAACCCUAGUAGUCCCAUG